AGAAUCAACGCUGGCGGCGUGCCUAACACAUGCAAGUCGAACGAGAAAGUGGAGCAAUCCACGAGUAAAGUGGCGCACGGGUGAGUAACACGUGACUAACCUACCCUUGAGUGGGGGAUAACCUAGAGAAAUCUGGGCUAAUACCGCAUAAUACCUUCGGGUCAAAGGAGCAAUUCGCUUAAGGAGGGGGUCGCGGCCGAUUAGUUAGUUGGCGGGGUAAUGGCCUACCAAGACUAUGAUCGGUA
rnacentral:rRNA from 1 species